UACGUAGGUGGCAAGCGUUGUCCGGAUUUACUGGGUGUAAAGGGCGUGUAGGCGGGAUAGCAAGUCAGAUGGGAAAUUCCGGGGCUUAAGCCCGGCGCUGCAUCUGAAACUGUUAGUCUUGAGUGUCGGAGAGGAAAGUGGAAGUCCCAGUGUAGCGGUGAAAUGCGUAGAGAUUGGGAGGAACACUAGUGGCGAAGGCGGCUUUCUGGACGAUAACAGACGCUGAGGCGCGAAAGCGUGGGGAGCAAACAGG
rnacentral:rRNA from 1 species